GGACUACAGGGGUAUCUAAUCCUGUUUGCUCCCCUUGCUCUCGCGCUUCAGCGUCAGUUAUAAGCUAGAGAACCGCUUUCGCCACCGGUGUUCUUCCACAUAUCUACGCAUUUCACCGCUACACGUGGAAUUCCGUUCUCUCCGCCAAUCCUCAAGAUUUAUAGUUUCAAAUGCGGCUCCGGAAUUGAGUCCCGGAAUUUCACAUCUGACUUAUAUAUCCGCCUACGCGCCCUUUACGCCCAAUAAUUCCGAUUAAUGCUUGCACCCUCCGUAUUACCGCGGCUGCUGGCAC
rnacentral:rRNA from 1 species